rnacentral:misc_RNA from 1 species
ACCUCUUCCUGUUCCCGUCCUUGAGGACGCCGUGCCGGGUCAGUGUUAGCCUCCAGCCCUGGUUGUGGAAGGCGACAGAAGUCAUGGCGAUGUUUGAGCAGAUGAGAGCCAACGUGGGCAAGUUGCUCAAGGGUAUCGACAGGUACAAUCCUGAGAACCUGGCCACCCUGGAGCGCUAUGUAGAGACGCAGGCCAAGGAAAAUGCCUAUGAUCUGGAAGCCAACCUGGCUGUCCUGAAGCUGUACCAGUUCAACCCAGCCUUCUUUCAGACCACGGUCACCGCCCAGAUCCUGCUGAAGGCCCUCACCAACUUGCCGCACACAGACUUCACCCUGUGCAAGUGCAUGAUCGACCAGGCACAUCAAGAAGAACGGCCAAUCCGACAGAUUUUGUACCUCGGGGACCUGCUGGAGACCUGCCAUUUCCAGGCCUUCUGGAGCCUCCCUCUGUCGCCCAGUCUGGAAUGCAAUGGUGUGAUCUCGGCUCACCACAACCUCCAUCUCCUGGGUUCAAGCGAUUCUCCUGCUUCAGCCUCCUCAGUAGUUGGGAUUACAGGAAUGUGCCACCACGCCCUGCUAAUUUUGUAAUUUUAGUAGAGUCAGGGUUUCUCCAUGUUGGUCAGGCUGGUCUCGAACUCCCGACCUCAGGUGAUCCGCCCGCCUCAGCCUCCCAAAGUGCUGGGAUUACAGGCAUGAGCCACUGUG